GUAUCUAAUUUCACAUUGAUUUCUCUAUCAAAUAUAAUACAAAUAUAAAAAAAAAAUUCAAUGAAUAUUAAAUGAUCACGAAUCAGUACAUACCAAUUAUAUAAUUUUCAACAGAUUAUUCUUACUGGGCACCCAAACAUUUGGGCCAUAAGUGAAAUAUGACGGAAUAUAUAAACAUUUGCUGCAAUUCAUGUCUUCCUGUGACAUCUGGUACUGCAUUUGUGUCGGGCAUCAGAAUUACAUAUUCUUGCUACUUGUUUGUGAUAUUUCUCCUUUGUAGAAAUUGACUACUGAAUCUUCAACGAAUACAAAUAGCACAUUUGAUCAAUAACUAAUGGAAAAUAGGCGAAAGACGAGAUCCAUGACAAAGGAAGAAAAUGAAGCCCUUGAAGAAUGGGGAAAGCUAUGGCUUAGACUCGAGUCCAAGCUCAAGUCUGAGUCCAACCCUAACCCAGAUGAAGAAGACAGGUUUUUAACUGAAGAUGAAGAUGAAGAUUCUACCAUUGACAAGUCUUUAAUUGAAGAUGAAGAUGAAGAUGAAGAUGACUUCUUUUUUGAUAAUAUAGAGAAGAAGGGGGUGAAGAUUCUUCCUUCCAAUAAAAUACAAGAUUGGUUUGAUUUUGAGUUAGACUCAUUCUCUACCCCUACUCGGGAUCAAGACCUAAUGGAUCUUGACUCUAGAGACCCUUCACGUGGUAUAAGGGGUCCAAUUACAAGAUCCAAAACAAAUAAAGUCAAGUAUGAUGAUCGUAUAGGGGGGCCGGUGACAAGAUCCAAAACAAAGAAAUUGAAGCAAGCAUCAUUGGAAAAGGCAUGACUUGCACUCUUAUCCAACCUACCUUAAAGAAGGAAACCUGAUUCCUUAAAAGUCUAUUCCAUCGUGAACCAACGUUAAAUUCUUCUAGACAUUGAAGCACCGUCUUCUUCAUCUGUUAAGUCGCAAUUUCGUUACAGUUUCAACAAGUCUGCAAAUGUCUUCUUCAUCUGUUAAUGCGCGAAUUCAUAACUUUUGUGGGUGCUAAGUCCGUAUGGUUUCCUAUCAAUGCAAGAAGGGCCUAACAAAGGAGGAUUAUUUUGGAGACGUCCUUUUUGGAGGACCCCUGACACGUGCAAUUUGUUCAUAUGAAAUGAAGACUAUGGAGAAAAAUCUGCAAAUGAAGAUGCAAGCUUGAUGAACUCAGAGGUCGAAGUUAUGGCCUCUAUGGGCUACAUGAAGGAGAUGUACAAAGAAUUAAGAAAGAAGAACAAUAUUUUGAAGAACAUAUUGAAAUUGGAGAAACGUAAUGGAAAUCUAAAAAUGUUGUAUAGUGUCAUUUUUGUAAUUGUCAAUGUUUUUCUCUCCUGAAAGAUUGCAAGUGUUGAUAGUAUACAUUACAUGUGUUUUAAUGUGAUGUAUUGUAAGUUGAGUUUAAUCUGUAGCAAAUGUUGAAAUGCAAUGAGAAAAUUGAUUUCGUUA